UACGGAGGGGGUUAGCGUUGUUCGGAAUGACUGGGCGUAAAGCGCGCGUAGGCGGAUCAGGAAGUUGGGGGUGAAAUCCCGGGGCUCAACCCCGGAAUGGCCUUCAAAACUCCUGGUCUUGAGUUCGAGAGAGGUGAGUGGAAUUCCGAGUGUAGAGGUGAAAUUCGUAGAUAUUCGGAGGAACACCAGUGGCGAAGGCGGCUCACUGGCUCGACACUGACGCUGAGGUGCGAAAGCGUGGGGAGCAAACCGG
rnacentral:rRNA from 1 species